CACGCUUAAGUUUGUGUCAUCCUUAACAUAACCUGCGACGAACAUGCUUAGGUCCAUAUCAUCCUUAAACAUAGCUUGUGAUGAACAUGCUUAGGUCUGUGUCAUCUUUAACAUAACUUGUGAUGAACACGCUUAGGUUCGUGUCAUCCUUAUCAUAAUUUGUGAUGAACACGCUUAGGUCCGUGUCAUCCUUAACAUAACUUGUGAUGAACACGCUUAGGUCCGUAUCACCCUUAAUAUCUUAUCUUUCUUAAUGCAUGAGAAGUUUGUUGGACUUCAUGAACUUUUCUAGCAUGGCAUAUACCUGUACAUAACAUAACAUAACAUGACAUGGCAUAAUGUGAUCUGAACAUAAACAUUUCAUGGCAUACAUGAUCUGAGAACUACAUGAACAUUACAUGACUUAUAUGAUCUAAAUACUUCAUGACAUUACAUUGCAUGUCAUACAUGUGAUUUUCAUGACAUAU